UACGGAGGAUGCGAGCGUUAUCCGGAUUUAUUGGGUUUAAAGGGUGCGUAGGCGGACUGUCGAGUCAGCGGUAAAAUUGAGAGGCUCAACCUCUUCCCGCCGUUGAAACUGGUGGUCUUGAGUGGAUGAGAAGUACGCGGAAUGCGUGGUGUAGCGGUGAAAUGCAUAGAUAUCACGCAGAACUCCGAUUGCGAAGGCAGCGUACCGGCAUCCAACUGACGCUGAGGCACGAAAGCGUGGGGAUCAAACAGG
rnacentral:rRNA from 1 species